GAGGGUAUAGCUCAAGCAGUAGAGCACAUGCUUAGCAUGCGUGAGUCCUGGGUUCAAUCCCCAGUACCUCCU
rnacentral:tRNA from 1 species